rnacentral:sRNA from 1 species
GACCAGCCGAACGAUCGGCCAGCCGUCU